CAUGCACCGGUGGGGGUCCCUCGGCCUGGCCUGUGCCCUUUUGCAAUCCGGGACCCCUCGGAGGGGGGGUCAGAGAGCGCAGGUCAGGCCGAGGGACCCCACCGGUGCACG
rnacentral:pre_miRNA from 1 species